UGGGGAAUAUUGCACAAUGGGGGAAACCCUGAUGCAGCGACGCCGCGUGAGUGAAGAAGUCAUUCGUGAUGUAAAGCUCUGUCAGCAGGGAAGAAAAUGACGGUACCUGACCAAGAAGCCCCGGCUAACUACG
rnacentral:rRNA from 1 species